GGUAUAGAGUUCGGAUUUAAUUGUUUAGAGUUUAGGGUUUAAGGUUACGGUUUGGAUUUAGGGUAUAGGGUUUGGGUUUAGGGUUUCGGUUUGGAUUUAGGGUACAGGAUUUGGAUUUAGAGUUUAGGUUUGGGUUUAGGUUUGGAUUUAGGGUUUAGUUGGCGUUUUUAACGUCGUUAAAAUUGGCGUUAUUAUUAUUAUUUUUAAUUAUUUUGAUUUUUUAAAAAUUAUUUAAUUAUUUUUAUCCAUUAAUUUAUAUGACAAUAUGAUUGGUUCUUAGAAGUGAGGUAAAUUUAAAGGUUCACUCUAGAAGAUAAACCUAAGUUUUUUAUUAAUAUCUUCAGUCUGUAUCUAAUUUCCUUUGUCUAUUAAAUGGAAAACAAACAA
rnacentral:lncRNA from 1 species